GCUCAGGAAUAUGUUUUAUACUCUAUCAUUAUAUAUAUGAAUAAGAAUUGUAUUACUUAUAAAAUAAUUUUGCAUAUGAAAAAAACGCAGGUGGGUUUAAUUUUAGGCAAUUUAAAUAUUGUGAGGACAAAGCUAUUGAGUUCAGAAAGUAACGGAUUGCAAAACAUGAGAUUCUUAACAGAUUUUGGAAUGACGCUAUACAUGUUUGCUUUGGGGCUUGAGAUGGAUCCCAUGGUGCUUUUUCGCAUACCUAAAAGAGAGGCUGUAGUUGCAUAUACCGGGAUGUUGUUUACAUUUAUUUUAACGUAUAGCUUAACUCCAAUCCUAAAAUAUGCAAUAAAUUCAAACAUUGAAUUUAAUGUUACUUUGGCAAUACUCCUAUCAAGUACAGGAUCCCCAUUAUUAACUCGUGUGCUUACAGAUCUUAAGAUUGGUAAAUCCGAAAUUGGCAAAUUUGCCAUUUCUGCAGCCGUUUACUCUGAGUUGAUAACAAUAUUAUUCAUUUGCGUUGGAUAUGUCAUCUUCCAGCCUGAAAGUGGGUUCCAAAUACGCAGAAGAAUACUUCAAAGGCCUGAUAAACAUGAUCUUCUACAUGGUCCCAGACUCGUCCCUCUUGCUAUGUCAGUGUUGUUACAAAUCAUUAUAACAUUAGUGGCAGGACCUCUUAUUCUGAGUUGGGUUAAUAAUGCUAACCCCUAUGGAAAGACACUUAAAGGCUCACAUUUAGUGCUCUCUGUUGCAUUUGCAGUGUUUGUUGGUUGCAUUUCACCACUUACCGGCUUUAGUCCUGUGCUUAGUGCCUUUAUUACCGGAGUGUUUUUACCGCGACAAGGGAGAAUUUCACAGUAUAUUGUUAGUAAAGUGAAUUACCUCUUAACUUUUUUGUUUUUCCCAUACUUUUUUGUGUGGGUUGGAUCAGAAGCACAAUUUGAUCGAUUUGAAAUUCGAACAUUAAGCUCUUGGGAAAAGUUGUUUGGUUUUUUUGCUGUCGGAACAAUUGGGAAAGUCAUUGGUGCUCUUCUAUCUGGGUUUCUUUUUGGAAUUCAAUGGCGUGAUUCUAUAAUGCUUGCAUCACUUUUGAAUGUCAAAGGCCAUUUACACAUGUAUCUCACUAUUGUUGCUAUGAAGGUAUGUGUUAUUAACUUUGACCUUAUUAAUUAUAUUGAAUAGUUGAAAAAGAAUUACAUAAAUUCUCAUGUAAUGGGUGUUUGCAGAAAGACAUUAUUACUUAUUCUACGUGUAUUGGGUUGCUAUUAGCAAUGCUCCUUAAGAUUGUAUACAUCCCAAUGGUGGCACAAUACAUCAUUCAACAUGCUAGAUUACGCUUGUCAAAGCAACCUUUAGCACUACAAUGGCAGAAUCCUAGUGAAGAGCUUCGAAUCCUAUUAUGCUUCCAUGGACCCGAAAAUGUUCCUUGUGCCAUUAAUUUCAUGGAGAUCUCCAAGGGGACAGGUGACCCAGGCAUAUUAGUAUAUGCUACUGACAUUGUACAACUCACAGACCAAAUUGCUGACACAUUAAUUCCAGGAGAGAUGGAUGAUGUAGAGGUGACAGAUUCAAAAGUAAUCCAAAUCAGAGAUCAAAUCACCACUGCACUACAAGAGUAUACUGACAAUUACGGAGAUGGUAUCACCCUUCGUAGAGCCAUGGCCUUAGCCACUUACAACACCAUGCACCAAGAAAUUUGCAACUUAGCAGAGGAUUCAAUAAUUAGCUUAAUAGUUCUUCCGUUCCAUAAUAGUCCUCCAAUUGAUCAACAUACAGAUUACAAACUUGCAGGAUUUAGAUAUGUUAAUCGCAAGGUACUUCGCAAUGCCCCAUGCUCUAUAGCAAUCAUGGUGGAUCGAGGUUUUGGUGCAAGCAACCAAAUAUUGAAGUCAUUAAGUAGCACUUUGAAUACUGUCGUUAUAUUUAUUGGAGGCAAAGAUGAUAGAGAAGCACUAGCCUAUGCAGGACGUAUCGCUUACCGGCGUGGAGUGAAGCUGACAGUCAUGAGAUUUCUAGUAGAUACUGAUGUAGAGAAUAAUAAUAAUAAUACGAGAAAAACAUAUCAACAAGAACAAGAGAUGGAGCUUGAUGAUGAAUGCUUUGCAAAAUUUUAUGAGAAGCAUGUUGCAGGAGGAAAUGUGUCAUACCUUGAGAAACAUUUGGUGAAUUCAGCACAAGCCUUCACUACAUUACAAUCAAUUGAAGGGCAAUAUGGACUUUUCAUUGUGGGCCGAGGAGGUCGGGUCAAUUCAAUGUUGACAAUGGGGAUGAAUGAUUGGGAGCAAUGUCCAGAAUUAGGGCCUUUAGGAGAUAUUUUAUCUGGACCUAAUUUUUCUACUACCGCCUCAAUUUUGAUUAUUCAACAACACGACCCUAAACUUGAACCUAGGCGACCUGCAUGACAAUAAUGUUGGUGUACACCGAACAAUAUUAGGGUAACUUUUAGCCAAUUUAAGAUAAUGGGUAAUUUUAAAUCUAAUAUGAUUUUAUUGUAAAUAGACAACGGGAUAUGUUUUAUAAGGGUAAUGGAAUUACUUUUAAUAAUUACUAAGAUUUGAUUUCAAGUCAUUUAAAGUAUCUUACUUAUUAAAAAACCAUUGAUAACUUUUAUUUGU